rnacentral:lncRNA from 1 species
AUGAAGCAGAAGGCCCUGUGCAGUGAUGGCCCUUGCAAGAUGUAUUUGCCGUUUCUGGAGUGGGUGUUUGCGGUUUUGCUGAAACUGAGCUCCUGGACUCAUUUCUCUCUCUUUCCCAUCUUCCCACAGAGUCAAGCCUUUCUUAUCACAACCCAUUAUAGAAUUACAGUCAGAGGGCCCACUUCAAAUCGCUUUCUUUGGGAACAUCCAGUCCGGCAACAUCAGACCCUCCCUCCUACAUGGCUGCCUAAUGGAGGGGGGCAGUCACCCUCCAGUCUCACCCCCACUGCUUCCCGCUGUAUGUACCUGACCUGCUCCACCUAUUAGGUCACCUCCUUGGCCCCUGUGCUCAGGUUUUCCUCCGCGUUUUAAUUAUGAGUGUUUCCAGCAACUCUCUGCUCAGUUCUAAGCCUUUUGAACCAAGGGAAGCCUCUUUCAGAAUGUUCCAUCGUUUCCAGUCUGUGUCUGGCAGAGUAGUUCAAGGGACUUAUUGAUAAUUCAGGUCAGAAGACCUGCCCAGAAGGAUGGCCUUCUUGGAUGGUGGACACAGAUCACACAGGAAACAUCGGACAACUAGACAGGCCUCUGUGCAACCACAGUGCCAUAGUCAUGCUCCUCGUGAAGAAACUCCUCCAGGUAGAACAUCUUCCCCAUCCUCUGUUUCCUCCUACAAAUUAUAAGUCGAACCUGUGCAGGCUUUGCCAUGUGCUGGCCUAGCUGUUUUCUCCACACUGUAGCUACCCUGGUUUUCUAUAUAUUCGGUGAGUACUUGUGUCAGAAUGAUUACCUGUAAUGAAAGAGCUAACACUUGGCAUUACCUUUGAUCCAUCAGUACACAAAUGUAUGAAGUAGAAAGUAAAGACCCUCCACAGUCUCUGCCCCCAUCAAGAUAACCAGCGUUCAGAGUUUUUUCUCCUGUGAAGGAACAGUGCACCUGGAGACGGAUCAAUAUCACACAUGAGAAAACACACACAAAAAUAGAAUCCAGUGCCUGGCACCUAGAAGGUUCGAUAAAUUUUUGUUGAAAGAAUGUAUAUACACAUUGAAUAAAUACAUAGGUUGUAGUUAAUAUGUAUCUGUUGAAUGAGUGCAUCUGUAGUUCUCAAAAUAAAUUGAUCUAUGUGUAAAUUUAAUAAAGUGAAUAAUUUACACAUCCUGUUUUGUAACUCGCUCUUUCUGCAUCCUUAGUGACUCGUGGCUGUCUUUGUGUCAUCAUAUAUACGUCUGCCUCAUUAUUUCUGAUGGCUUUCUCGUUCUCCUUGACAUGGAAAUUCCAUUUUAUUUAAUGUAUUCAGUACUGAUGGUCCUUUAGAUAGCUGCGUUUUUUAUGGUUUUCUAUUAAACAGUGUUGUAGAAAGCACAGGUACACAUGCAUAUUUGCAGGAAUUGCUGGUUCAAGGGAUUGUCCCUUAUGAAUUCUAAUAGCUACUGCCAAACUGUUCUUCGAG